rnacentral:lncRNA from 1 species
AUACAAAAAAUACCACAUUAAGAAUUUUUUAUAUCAAUUCUGAGAAUCUAAACUUCUUGGUCAGUAUGACUGGCUUUCCCCAGCCUCCAAAACUUUGUGAUGCUACUUGAUGCCAAAGCACUGGAGACGCUUAUGCGGGUAUCAGUCAUAGUUGAACUGCUAUUACAACAUUAAUCCAGUUUAUGUUGUCACUUCAAGUCUGGAGCUCUGCUGUUUAUGUGCUGUACUUGAGUAUGGAGAAGACAUUUUAUGACCUGGCACUCUUGGCGUCUGUGAUCCUGGCUCCUUACACACAGCAUGCAAUCAUGCCCUCUAAAGUCAUGCCACCUCUUGAAGUUGCUGUCACAGAGUAUAUGUGGACAUUACUCAGAGGACUUAACAGAUGUUCCUUUUUCAGGCUACAUUUCAGCUUAUCAAAGGCAUCACCUCUCCUUUCUUCCUGGACUUCCUGAACCUCAAAGCAUUGUUUCCUCUCUUUCUGUUUCUUACCUUGCCAAAGUCUCUGAGGCUGAGGUUACAAGAGGUUGACAAUCUGCUUGAGAAGGAGAGGAUAUAGGGAGGACACAUACAUGUUAUCUUGCCAAACACGUUACUAUAAAAAGAAUAACAUUGACAUCCACAAAUCAGAUGGAAGUGCCAGUAAUCUUCAAAAUGAAAGAAUGGAGCAUUCUCCAGAAGUGAGCAAACCCAUUUCCCUUCCUCAUGUCUAUCUUUCCUGCACUCAGAAAAAUGCUGACAGUGGAAGUACAAAUAAAAGGUUCAUUCUGAAUUUGGAUAAAUUAUUUGAUCUGUUAUCAAAAGUCCUUCCUUUGCUCCAUGACAAAAUAUGUUCGUACAGCAAUUUCCUUCCAGUUUAAGUUCCUCUAUGAACAAAUGGCCAAAAACUGUGGUCAUUCUAGUGCCGUGUUCAACAUUUACUCCAAAACACUGCCUAAGGAUUGGGUCAGAAGCAUCAUCUGCUUAUGGAAUGAUUUACCCUGCAGAGUCUUUGGAGAGAAAGGAGUGUCUUAGUUUAAUCCAGUAUCAGGCAUUAUGCAGC